GGUGGCAGUCCUAUGCUGUUCAUAAUAAAAGUGAAGCUUAGAGAUGUCACAAGUUACCCACAGUCACACAGGUUUAAUGGGAAAGCUGCUGGUGCCUCUUAGUUGUGGUCAAUUCCAAAUGCUAAAGUAUAAAAGCUCUAUCAUACUGUAUACCAUGUCUUAAGAUCAUAAAAUAGAAAACUACACUUUGCUUUCCUUGGGGCCCUAAGAGCUGAAAGAAUUUGUGUAGGAAAACAGAUUAAAGCAGUGCAUUAGCAAAAUCAAAGAAAAACCGGAAUGAUAGAAGCAGAGGAGGAAAAAAUACAUACUCCUAGAAAAGAAGAAACAAACUUGAUCAAGCAUAAAUUUGCUAAUGCUUCACACCCAUAAAUUUAAAAUAAGUCAAAACCCAAAUUUAAUCUCAUCACUCUACAGCUGGACCACAUGACAGGGUUUAAAAGCUGUGUGACAGACCUAGAUAUCCACAUUGUUGUAGGAGGGCAUGGGCCAGUGUUUGGUUCUUCUAGAGAGCCAGCUUCACCUGCUAACUCCAUUCUCAAGCAAAACCUUCUCUUUAUAUCUAAAACAAAUGUUCAUGUGUCCUAGGAGAAAAAAGUUUUUUGUCGAGGUGAAGGGAUAAGACUCAGAACAGGGAAUUUGCCUUGGAAUUUGCAAAUUUCAUCCUUGGAUCAUGUCAAAGAAGAAAAAAGUAAAUGUGGAGUGAUGAAGAGGGAUAUUCUUCCUUGCUAAGAAGACAGAAAUAGCUUGAACUAAUUAUAUUAACCUAAAAAAGAGUCAUUUGUUUGGGAAGCAAUCUGAUUCUUUUGGAAAAUCUUUGAAAGCCUUUGUUGUUGGAUUAAGAAGCAAAAAGUUGCUUAUUCUUGAGUCUAUACAUCCAAAGUGAACUGGAACAUUAUGGCAACUAUCUGAAUUAGAAGUUCUGAAAGUAUGGUAAUCUGGCUAACAUCAUCAUCGCCACCUGGACACAGGCCUUCACACUCAGAAGAUCCCUGGAAUCUGAUGGUAAUGAUGGCACUGGAACAGCAGUAGGAGUACCGGCCUAGAUAUAG
ensembl:lncRNA